GAGAAAAUGAUGUACAAUGAGAAUAUAGGAGGACUCGAAACUGAACUCAGCAAUACUAAGACAAGUUGGAGAGAAUCAAGUCAGCUCGUCCUGGGGUCCUAUGGUCCCACCAGUCGCGGUGACCUCAUCCCCAUCGAAUGCUACAGAUACCAUUUCUCAAAUGCUUCUGAAGACAGUUCUUCCGCCUCACACAGAAGGCAUUUGAAAGGUUUCCGGCCUCUAAUCUGCAACAGGCGAUGUAGCGGGAUAUGUAAAAAAAUGCAGAGAUUGUUGAGAGGAGGUGCUGGGUCGGCUGUGUUCCUCAGAACAUCUACAGAAGUCUGCUGGCAGCCAUUGCAGUGGCGAAGAGAAGAGAAAUUAUGGUCUGGAGGGUUUUUUCCAUGUGUGUAUGGGGAUGGUCAUGUUAUGAUUAGACCAGGUGGCCUGGAGAUCAUGGUGAAGACACAGAAGGGGGUCAUUUUAGGUACACUUAACCGUAUAACUUUUUGAAGGUAAAAGAUAAGCUGGCCAUUAUGCCAACAACAAUAUAGCCCAUUAUAGUGAGAAAAUUACACACAGAUGACUUUCAGUCUUGAUGUUCUUGAUGUCCACACCAGCAAGAUGUCAUAAUGUUUAGCAUAUGCUACGGAGAGAACUCAGACAGUGGACAUGUCUGGAUGUUUAAAACUGGUUUAUGUAAUCUGUGGCAUUUAAAAGUCCUUCUUUCAGUUUUGGUUUCAGUGCAAAGACCUUCUAAGUUUUCAGGCUACGAAUUAUGAAUGCACAUCAAUAGUCGACAGUGUCUCAUUUAUUACCAGGAAAUGUUAAUCUCAAAUCCGCAACAGAACAAAAAAAGCAGUGGAUUGUGAUGGAAAUUCAUAUAAUCUUAACACUACUCAGGAUGGUGCUUUAAGAAAUUUUUGCAGUGAGA